UACGGGGGGGGUAAGCGUUGUUCGGAAUUACUGGGCGUAAAGGGCUCGUAGGCGGCCAACUAAGUCAGACGUGAAAUCCCUCAGCUUAACUGGGGAACUGCGUCUGAUACUGGAUGGCUUGGAUUGGGAGAGGGAUGCGGAAUUCCAGGUGUAGGCGGUAGAAAUGCGUAGAUAUCGAUAAGGAAGACCAGGUGGCGAAGGCGGGUCUCUUGGACAGUUC
rnacentral:rRNA from 1 species